GUAUUUUAAAAAAAGCAAAUUUACACUAAAAAUAUUACAGAAGAGAUUAGCAUAGCCCUGUGUAAGGAUGAAAUGCUGAUUCAUGAAUUAUCCCAUAGUUUU